UACGUAGGGUGCGAGCGUUGUCCGGAAUUAUUGGGCGUAAAGGGCUCGUAGGCGGUCUGUUGCGUCGGGAGUGAAAAACCCGAGGCUCAACCUCGGGCCUGCAGUGGGUACGGGCAGACUAGAGUGCGGUAGGGGAGAUUGGAAUUCCUGGUGUAGCGGUGGAAUGCGCAGAUAUCAGGAGGAACACCAAUGGCGAAGGCAGAUCUCUGGGCCGUAACUGACGCUGAGGAGCGAAAGCAUGGGGAGCGAACAGG
rnacentral:rRNA from 1 species